rnacentral:rRNA from 1 species
UACGGAGGGAGCUAGCGUUGUUCGGAAUUACUGGGCGUAAAGCGCACGUAGGCGGCUUUGUAAGUUAGAGGUGAAAGCCCGGGGCUCAACUCCGGAACUGCCUUUAAGACUGCAUCGCUUGAAUCCAGGAGAGGUGAGUGGAAUUCCGAGUGUAGAGGUGAAAUUCGUAGAUAUCUGGAGGAAUACCGGUGGCGAAGGCGGCAUCCUGGACCGACAUUGACGCGUGAGGAGCGAAAGCUAGGGGAGCAAACGGG